AACCGGGUACGCGACUGGCGAUAGGCGCACCAACCGAAGGACGAACUCCUUCUGACUGGCUGCGUUGACGUGGCCCCCCGGCGCUGAAAGCGAUCAGCGGCCGGGACAACCACUGGGAAGCGUGCCGCCCGGCCCGACCGGGUGUUCAGCCGUUCGCCUGGGCAGCCCCU
rnacentral:ncRNA from 1 species